rnacentral:lncRNA from 1 species
AGAACACGCCAUUAACAAGGCCAGAACCCCGACUGCCAUUCCUGGACGGGAGCCACCAACACCCGCAAAAUCGAUCGAUUCAGCCUGGGACGCUUGCUGUUUCCGAACCUCUGUUGCCACCUAUCCCAGUUUGGAGGGAAUUUUCCCAAGGAUGGCUUCAUGACCACACUGCUGUAGGAAGCCAUAAGUUGGAAAUCAACGGGCCUGGCUUGAAGUGUGGCCUUAGGCAACACCGUUCUCAUCUACAUCUGGAUUCUCCAACAAAGCUGGGAAAAAAACGAUCCAAGGGAAGCCAAUCAAAGAGCCUGGAUUGCCAGUCUUCCCUGCUGCGAUCUCCGCCUGCGAUUCUCCAGGGGAAAUGUCCUUUAUGACCUUACAGCUCACCUGGAACCCUCCACCUAGGGCCCGAGGCAGCACAUCCUCUCGUGCCCGGGCACUUCCAGGCAUUGCCCUGAGUACUGGGCACUUCACACACUGGGCUGGACCACUCACCGGAGUGAAUAAGGAGGCUUGAAGCUGUCCUGGUACAACAAUGGAAUGAAGCGCUAGUCUCAGCUCAGCCACUUGGAAUAUGACUCCAACUCUCACAUUUCUGUGGGGUGUAUUCAUUUCAGCUUUUUGUUUGGUGCUAUGGGGAGGGAAGGGCCCUCAGACUGGCAUCCUUUUUCUUCCAGGAUGAUGAUGAAUAUUAUGAAAGUCUGAGGCUGUUUUUAAAAUUCUGCUCUAAUACGUUGUUUUUCUGUGCAUAAGAAUUAUGUAUUCUUAGCUGCAAAACUGGAAUCCGUCUGCUCAUGGAUAAACUUCUGGCCAUGAGCAUGUACCUUUCAGGUAACUUCCCUAUCAGAGAAGCUUACAAUCAAGAAUCCUACUUCCCUAGUUCCCUACACAGGCCCAGGAGGCUUUUGGUGGUAUCCGCUGGACUUUUGAAAAUUAGGGAAUUUCUCCUACUCUGAACUCUACCAGGAAUCACAUAUCAAGAUCUCAGUACCAUCUUACCUAGACCCUCUUGACCUCUUCUUUCUCCAUAAUCUCUUUCUAGCUCAUGUCAUCCAGACUCGAGGGCCCCAUUCUCAGUUUGACACUGAGGACACCCACGCUAUUAUCUCUGGCUGUGACCUUUCCCACGAGCUCCAAAUUCACACCAUCUUUUGACGUCUCCACUUAACUUCCCCAUUUCGGUGUCUCAAACUUGACAAUUCAAAACAGAACUCCCUCCCACUUCCAAACUGGUUUCCUACCCAACUUUCCCAGGCCCCCAGUUUCUCAAGUCAGAAAUCUAUGAGUCAUCCUUGAUGUUUGCCAUUCCCUCAUCCCUCCCAUCCAACCCAUUCGUAGGCUCUUGGGAAUCUACCUCCAAAAUGUCUCUGGAAUCCAUCCUCUUCUCUCCACCUCCACUGCCAACCGCCUCUCACCUGCAAUAGCUCUGAGGCAGCCUCCCCACUUCUUCUGCCUCCCAUCCCCACCCCUACAUAUUCCUGUCCUAUCUCCACCCAGAAGCAAACAAGAUCUUCUUUAACUGUAAAUUGGUUCACAUCUCCCCUGCUUAGAACUUUCCAAGGCCUUGACAUUAUUCCAAGAUCAAGACCAAACUCUUGACUGUGGCCAGUGAGACCUUUCCUGAACUGGUCCUACCUACCUCUGCAAACCCAUCUAGUGACACCUUUCCCUUAGCUUGCCUCCAACAUAGUGUAUUAGUUUCCUAUGGCUGCUGCAGGAAAUGACACAAAUUAUCCCCUUAUAGUCGUGGAAGCCAGAAGUCCAAAAUGGGCUGGAGCCAAGGCAGGCAGGGCUAUGCUGCUUGCAGAGGUUCUAGGGGAGAAUCUAUUUCUUGGUCUUCUUUGGCUUCUAGAGCUGCAAUCCUUGGCUCAUGGCGCCUUCCUCCACCUUCAGAGCCAGCAGUGUAGCAUCUUACUUGGUGAUCACAUUUCUUUCUUCUCCAGUGUCAUAUUUCCCUUUGCUUUACAUUGUCCUUUAAAUUUCUCUUAUAAGGAAACUGCGAUUGCAUUUAAGACCCACCCAGGUAAUCCAAGAUGAUCUUCCCAUCUCAAGACCCUUAACUGAAUCCCACCUCCAAAGUCCCUUUUGCCAGGUAAGGCAACAUUCCCAGGUCCCGGGGAUUAGGAUCUACAUAUGUUCGGGAGUGACUAUUGAGCCUACCAUGCAUACCACGCUCCUUCCCUCACCAGGGUCUUUGUACCUCUUGUCCCCCAUUACUAGAAUGCUCCCUUCUUCCCUCUCACUCUUUGCUUGGCCAUAUCUUUCUCAUUCUUGGGGACACAGCUUACCUGGCACCUCCUCAGACAACCUGUCUCGGACCAGCCCCUUAACAGCCUGAAGACUUUUUUUUUUUUUUUUUUGAUACGGAGUCUUGCUCUGUUGCCCAGGCUAGAGUGCAGUAGUGUGAUCUCAGCUCACUGCAACCUCUGCCUCCCGGGUUCAAGCAGUUCUCCUGCUUCAACCUCCCAAGUAGCUGGGAUUACAGGCACCUGCUACCAUGCCCGGCUAAUUUUUGUAUUUUUAGUAGAGACAGGGUUUCACCAUGUUGGCCAGGCUGGUCUCGAACUCCCGACCGCAAGUGAUCUGCCCACCUUGGCCUCCCAAAGUGCUGAGAUUACAGGCAUGAGCCACAGUGCCUGGAUGAAGACUUUUUCAUGUCUUUUUCAACUGACUUGUUUUCUGCCUGCCUCUCCCUCCACCCUCACCUAAGCACCUUGAGGACCAUGUCUGUUUUGUCAAUCCACUGGUCAUCCUAAUAUAACUGGUUAAUAAAUCAUUGCUGAAUUUA